CUCCUCUCCUCCACAGAGAGUUGGACAGGUCUGAAGUUUGGAGCUGAGCCAAUUGGAGCUUCUGUUCCAGGGUGGUGGAGGGCAACUGCCGGGGGGACCUGAGGUUUAUGAGGGCCCCUCAGUCCCCCUGGUAGGGGAAGCCAUCCCUGAAGCAGCUGACUUACAGUCAGCCAGAACCGAGGGUUUGACUAGCUCUUCUCUGAGCGACAGAGCUACCAACUAAGCACUGUGGGAGGGUCAGGGUUGGGGUUAGGGUUAGGGUUAGGGUUAGGGUUAGGCAGAGUUUUAGGCAGGGUUUUGGGCAGGGUGUCUGGGUUGGUAAACAAUCAGAAACACUCAUCUGUCAGUCUUUCUGUCUGUCUGUCCUUUUUUUCAACAAUUGCUCAUACAUUCAAGGUCAAACUUGUAGUUUUUUGCAUGAGGGGUACAGACCCUAGCCCAUCUGACAGAGAGCUAUGUUCAGGGGGGUUUUAGAGAGGUUUUUAGGGGUUUUAGGGGAAGGGUUUUAGGGAGGGUUUUAGUAAACUCUCCCUAAAACUCUCCUUAAACUCUCCCUAAAACCAUUUUCAGGAGGGUUUUAGGGAGGGUUUUAGGGAAGGUUUUAGGGGAAGGGUUUUAGGGGGAGGGUUUUGGUGGGUUGCUGUAUGUGCUGUUCAACCAGUCCAAGGUGACUUUUCAGAGAAAGCACUGGUUUCUGCCAUAUUUUCAAGGAUUUUGUUGUUGUGACUGUUUGGGGUGGUGAACGUCUAGACGUGUUAAUAGGAGAUCAGAGGCUUACUGCCUGCACAAAAGCUCUAAUGUAUUCUGUCAGCAGCACAACCACUGGGUUUGGACAUCCAGCAGCACAUUAACAAUAUAACUCCCAAUUCAGUUAUAUUGAUUCAGGUUGUCAGUGUGCCUUCUAACCCAUCCUUUGUCAGCUCAAAACCUGAUUUUAUUCACAGAAAUAGCAGAAGAAAUCCUUGUUGCAACAUUUAAAAUUCAAGCAAAUUAGAGCAGCUACAAUCCAGACUAUAAAAACACAGUUUAAUCUUCUUUGCAGUUUGUGUAAGAGGGAGCACAUGAGGAGCCUUUGAGAAACAGAGGCAGGAGAACAAAGUCUCUUUUUGUUAUCAGCUUUGGUUUAUUGUAAUCUAAGCAGGAAUGGCUGUCACUGGUGUCGUCAUUGUUUUGCCGUCCUCUGCCUUCAGUCUUCAUCUUCACGGAAAGUCCACUACAGAAAAUGGCAUUGUGUGUUGUCGUCCAAAUCAUGGGACAAUUCAGUGGUGUUGUCAAGGAGUAAAACCAGUCACCUCACCACACAGAAUAGGUGAGAGGUGGAAAUUCACAGGGAUUUUUAUGUGCUUUUAUGUUAUUUAGUUUUACAUUAAAGGCUCAUACAUUCUCGUGAACAUUUCAUUAAAACUAUAGUGUGAACUUCUAUUUUUGAGCUGUUAAAUUGAGAGGUAUUGCAUAUUCAAAUAUCUUUUUUCCAGGCAAGUUCACAGUACCUUCUGGAAAUGUAUCACACCAGACUUGGCUUUUACGCUAAAGCAUUAUGCAAAACCACCCAGCAUGCUGAUGUUUCUGAUUUAAAUUAGAGGUGAUGAUGCUCUUGGCUGUAUAAGCCCUGCUCAUAUUUAUUCAUUUUACAAUAACUAAUGAAUUUUAAUUCCUACAAGGUGGGCAAAAGGCUUAUCUUUAACAGUAUAAAAAAAUCCACUGUCCCCAUCAGUGAAAUCAGUUUAGAAUGUGUCAGAUCUGUGUAAUUGCAGGCAUCCUCUCCAACAUAAUGAAGGUGAAUAGACUUUAUUGAUUAUAGUUAUGUUAUACAGAUAAUUGCCUGCUUGAACCUAUCCAAAAAAAAAUGGACUCCAUCUUUUUGUUCUCUGUUUUUUUGUCCAUAGUCACUGAAAUGAACUUGUGUUGCUCCCUGCUGCAGCUGCUGAGGGCUGUAAGCUAACACAGACUCACAGAAAACAGUACUGCAGCAUUAAAUGUGACUGCUUCAUUCAAAUGCACAACAAUAAUGACAAUUUAAUAUGCUCCCUCUCAUUAUGCAGUAGUCAAAGCUUAUUUUCAUUAGAGAAAAUCAAUCACCAAACAGUUGACAGAGCCAUUAUCGACACCAUGGAUACAUUCAUUAACAACAAAUCCACUUAUUGGACUUAGAAUACAUGCAGCAUGAAAGAGUUUUUAACUACUUCUUUUUUUCUUGUAGCCAUUACUGGUAGCAACUGAUUUAAUUAGCAUGGUUGCUAGGCAACAGGUAACCCAGAUGCUGUACAGCAGCUACAGCGUUUCCCUCGCUCCUGACUUCAAACACAGGGUUAAGGGGCCGUACAAGUGCGAGGCUAAGGACGUAAUAUGGCAUGAUGGUGUUAAUGUAGAGUGACUCUGUAAGCAAUGGCUGCAGGAGAUGGAAGCAGAGUCCUUUCAAUUAAUUUCAAGCACCUCAGAGGAGAAAAAAAAAAGAAUAUUCCCUUUUUCUUUUUUUUUUCCUCCGAGCCACUUUCUCUUUGACUCAAAUGAGCGUCUUUUAUAAUCAGUGUGACAUUUUGUCUGUUUUCUCAAACUGAGAAACAAUCUCACCUUGAUUUUUAGGUAAGCAUUCAAAGUGAUUUUUUAAAAUGGUAUCCUUCUUCACAGCUGUUAGUGUCAGUGAUGAAGUUCAAGCAUGAGCGAUGGACACUCUCUUAAAAAAUCUAUUGAAUGGUUAGUUGUCUCACUGGAAGUAAAACAACACAAGUCUGAAGCCAUGCUAGCAGCUCCAUGAGACUAUACUUAGGCACAGUGAAGCUAAAUGCUAAAGUCUAAUCUUACCUACCACCUUUGAUUAUUAGCAAAAAAUAAAUACAUAUACAGCUGAGGCUGAUGGCAAGGUCACAAGUUCUGCAGGUAUUUGGUUUUUAGGUUGUCUGAAGAUGGUGUUAGAUGGAAAGUUAUCAGUUAUCAGUUUAUCCUGAAUGUACACAGACUAAAUCAUGUGUGCACCAAAUCUCAAGACACCAGAGUUGUUGGGAUUCAUCCUCUGGGAACCAUGAAUGUCUGUUCAACAAUUUCAUGGUAAUCCAUCCAAUGGACCACAGUCUGGACCAAAGAGGUGGACUGAAACCUGCUGCCAUGACUGCUAAAAAUAUCAGUUUUGCAAACACAAGGUGUCGUGGUCAAGGUUACUUACAGCCUUCCUCACAGGAGGGAUUGUGUCUUUUGUUGUUUUGUUUGUAUACUUAAUAUACUUAAAAAUAAGGUAAAAAAGUUACACCUGUAUUUGACAUUUCUGCCAACCAAAUUGUUCCAAAAUAUAUAGAAACACAUGAAAAUAGAAAUUAAAAUCGCUUUAAGCAACAAUACAAUAUCUAAAGUAACUGGAUUAAUUUUUUGACUUUUUGACCUUUGUAUAUACAUAGGUGUGAUACAUCUGCCUGAUAUCUCGUCUGCACUCUUGUUGUUGUUGUGUCCUUAAAUGCAGCCUUGUUUGUGAGAUGGAGGGCUGUUGUUUGAGAGCUGGAGGGUCGAGAAACCCAACUUUUUCCUCCUCGGCUGAGCUCAGGUUGUCUGACAGCCAAACCUGUGAGUCACAGCCGUGUGAUUCAGCAGAGUUUUUGUAUUUCUUGCUUUGAGUUUGAAUGAGUCAAACAAUUACCUCGACCUGAAACUCAUCAGCAGGAUGUCACGUAGCUCUGUUAUUAAGACAGAAAGGAAAGUGUUUUGAAUCACAGGCUAAAUGGUUGUUUGACCGUACAUAGGAAAUGGAGGUAAAAAGAGAAUUUAAAAAAUGUUUGUUUCUCAGCACUGUAUCUGAACAGAAUUACUGAAAUCAUCAAAAGGAAAAAUAAA